ACGUAGGGUGCGAGCGUUAAUCGGAAUUACUGGGCGUAAAGCGUGCGCAGGCGGUUCGCUAAGACAGGUGUGAAAUCCCCGGGCUUAACCUGGGAAUGGCGCUUGUGACUGGCGGGCUGGAGUACGGCAGAGGGGGGUGGAAUUCCACGUGUAGCAGUGAAAUGCGUAGAGAUCCGGAGGAACCCCGGUGGCGAAGGCGACUUGCUGGGCCUGAACUGACGCUCAGACGCGAAAGCAUGGGGAGCGAACGG
rnacentral:rRNA from 1 species